rnacentral:lncRNA from 1 species
ACCACCACUUUAAGGUCCACCACUGGAUUGUGAACAAACAGCUCAUUGUUUGAGAUGCUUUUAGAAGCACUCAGAAUCUACUGGGUGCCCUCAGGCAGGAGGCCUGCAUGUGAACUCAGGAAAACUGCUUGGGGCUUCCUGGAGCUGAGUCACAGUGGCAGCAGCGAAUAUUUUUCAGUAAUCAGCACCAGAGCCUCCUCUUAGCUCUUCCCUGGGCAUAGCGCAGUGAAGAGAGCAUGAGCUUUGGAGUGGUACGAACCUGGAACUGAAUGUGAUCACGGCUAGAUGUAAUCCUUCUGAGCCUCAGUUUCCUCACAUAUGAAAUGGAGCCAUGAUGGUCCCUUCACCCGAUUAUUGAGAUGACAGAUGUUGUUUGAGCUUUUGUUACCUCCUGGCAAGGGAUCACGGACAUUUCUUGUGUGCGUUGAAAUGUCAGGAGAUAUUAAGAAAUGGAGACAUGGAGUUCCCAUUGUGGCACAGUGAAAAUGACUCCCGUUUUUGGAGCAGAACCACGCCAUCGUCUCUCCUGGGACUCCGGCUUGCUGACUGCGGAUCUUGGCACUUGUCAGCUUCCAUAACCGUGCUACCGGACAGACGUGCUGGGGCCCAGGAACUCUACCUCAUGGCUUCUAAGCAGGCAGAUUUGGCCCAGAGGGCAUGCCGCUGCUUCUGAUGCUCCCAAGAAGUUGUAUGAAGCCUCCAACUUGGGACCUCCUUGGGGAGCCAAGAGAAGGGCAGUGGGCAAAUGCUGGAUAGUUGGGCAAGGUUUCAGGACCCUGACAUCUCUAAGGCCUAUGAGUAAUCACUCUUCAGUAUCUGCAAGGGAAGAAUGAGGUUGCACAUGUACUGAGCUGCACAUCAUUUCUAGGCAAGUGUCCUUGACUUUUUCGGUCUUCACUCUGCCCAUUAUUUGCUUGAUGCUGAAGUCUACCUCUGUUGCACUUUCACCACAAGCUCCACUGACUAAUGAAUUCUAAGGUCCCUUCCACCUCCUAUCCCCAAGGCUUCAUUGUAUGAAAUCUACUCUCAUCACACCAUUGUUUCCCUUGUGUUCUUGCACUAUUUUGGGGGUGGGUGGGUGGAGGGGAGGGCCCACACCCACAGCAUAUGGAAGUUCUCCUGCCAGGGAUUGAAUCCAAGCCACCACAGCUGACCUACUGCCACAGCUAUGGCAGUACUGGAUCCUUAAUGCACUGCACCACAAUAGGAACUCCUGCACUAUUAAAAAAAAAAAUGUAUCCAAAGUAAUAUUUGGACAUAAAGAGUCAAAUAGUGUGACAGGGCUGGAUUGCAAAAAGAGAUUCGAGUCCUACCUUUUUUGCAACUCUUGGCUUUUCCAACAGGUAUUUACCUUCAUGUUUCCAAGUAAUUUGCUUAUUAUUUAUUGUCGCUGUUAUUUUUUCAUUUAAGACAUCAUGUGUUGGCCUCCUACCAUAGGAAAUGAGAAUUUUAGUUUUCUUACCAUUUGCCCUUGCUCUACACAUAUUUUUCCUCUCCAUGUUCCAUAAUUAUUUCACAAUUUUGGUUAAAUCAAUACUACAUUUUUAUAGGAUUAUCGUUUUGUAAGUAUUAUUAAUAAUUGAGCCCCAAACUGUAAUAAUUACAUUCCAUUAUUUUAUAGAUUUUUUUUCUGGGGUCAUUUUUCUCCAUUAAGUUUUCUAUGAAUCUAUCCAGAUUUUGCCACAAACUCUUAGAGAAUUGCAAAAGCCCUCUCAAGCAGCGUCAGUAACACCAGGAGGGUCGUGGGUCCCUCUCUGCCUCUCAGGCCCCUCCCAUGCCUCCUCUCCUCCUCUGCUGCUGGGACCCACACUGGUUGCUCCCCAGGCCUGCUGCCAUCUGUUCCAGGCUCCUGCCUCCCCCAUUCCCAGUGUCCUGACCCCCUAUUUUCUGAACACUGCGUCUUCUUUCUUGCUUUAUCUUCUCCUUCCCUCACUCUUUUUUUUUUGGUGAAGCAGCAGCUUCUUGAGGUAAAGGGAUGCAGGGUCCAUGGGUACUUUUUUGAAAACAUCUUUAUUUGACUCUCAUACUUGACUGGGUUUGACUGGCUGUAGAAUUUUGGGUUGGGAAAGAUUUCUGUAUAUACUGUUCCAGGACAUUUUAGCAUCUAUUGUUGCUCUUGGAAAGUCCGAUGUAAUUCUUUUAAAAAUUUUUUUUAAAUUAGUAGUGAUCUAUAAUGUUCUGUCAAUUUCUGCUGUAUAGCAAAGUGACCCAGUCAUACAUAUAUAUAUAUACACACAUUCUUUUUCUCACAUUCUCCUCCAUCAUGUUCCGUCACAAGUGACUAGAUGUAGUUCCCUGUGCUGUACAGCAGGAUCUCCUUGUUUAUCCACUCAAAUGCAAUAGUUUGCAUCUACCAACCCCAAACUUCCAGUCCAUCCCUCUCUCCUCCCCCCUUGGCAACCACAACUCUGUUCUCCAUGUCCAUGAGUUUGUUUCUUUCCUGUAGAUAGGUUCAUAUAUUAGAUUCCAGAUAUAAGUGAUAUCAUAUGGUAUUUGUCUUUCUCUUUCUGACUCACUUCAUUUAGUGUGAGAGUUUCUGCGUCCAUCCAUGUUGCUGGACAUGGCACUACUGUGUUCUUUUUAAUGGCUGAGUAGUAUUUCACUGUAUAUAUGUGUGUGUGUUUACACACACACACACACACACAUACACACACACCCUCCAUUGAAGAAGAUACACGCACCCCUGUGUUCAUCGCAAUACUAUUCACAAUAGCCAAGACAUGGAAACAACCUAAAUGUCCAUCGAUAGAUGAAUGGAUUAAGAAGUCCAAUGCAAUUCUGAUUUUUGAUUCCUCAUAUGUUAACUUUCUCUCUUUCUCUCUCUUUCUCUCAUAUGGGUUAAUUUCUUUCUCUCUCUCUCUCUGGAAGCUUCUAGGAUCUUCUCAUUAUCCUUCCCAUUUGGGAAUUUCACAAUGAUAUGUCUUGUGUGGAUUUUGGGGAGUCGUACUUGGUAGGCUCCUUUAGUCUAGAAACUCACUUUAGUUUGGGGAACAUUCGUGGUAUUAUUUCUUUAAUUACUACCUCCCUUAGAUUUUUAAGUGUUCCUUUCAGCUGGAAAUUGGAUGUAGGACUGUCUGGAUUUGUCCUCUAAUUUCGCAGUUUUCCUCAUCUAGCUUCCAUUCUUUACCUUUUGUUCCUGGGAAAUUUCCUGAACUUUAACCUCAUAUCCUUCCAAUUGCUUUUGUGUAUUUUUAAUUUGCACUAACACUGAAUCCCCAAGAGCUUUUUCUACUCUGAAUGUGACUUUCUUCCAAUAGCAUUCUGUUCUUGAGCAUGUUAUCUUCUCAUCUGUUUCGGGAUGUUAAUAGCUUGUUUUG